UGACCUCAGAUCAGGUAGGGAUACCCGCUGAACUUAAGCAUAUCAAUAAGCGGAGG
rnacentral:rRNA from 4 species